CAAUGUCUUUACUUUAAACGGUGGAAAACGUCAUUCGACGCCCAACUAUUAAUAUUACGCUUUCAGUUCAACAUCUUUAUAGGCUACUUCAAACUGUGAUCUUACACAAACCAAGGCACUUAA